AUUGAACGCUGGCGGCAGGCCUAACACAUGCAAGUCGAACGAGUGGCGGACGGGUGAGUAAUGUCUGGGAAACUGCCUGAUGGAGGGGAUAACCCCUGGAAACGGUAGCUAAUACCGCAUACCAUCGGAUGUGCCCAGAUGGGAUUAGCUAGUAGGUGGGGUAACGGGCCAUCGAGGCGACGCACCCUAGCUGGUUCGAGAGGAUGACCAGCCACACUGGAACUGAGACACGGGCCAGACUCCUACGGGAGGCAGCAGUGGGGAAUAUGGCACAAUGGGCGCAAGCCUGAUGCAGCCAUGCCGCGUGUAUGAAGAAGGCCUUCGGGUUGUAAAGUACUUUCAGCGGGGAGGCGUUAGCUGCAGAAGAAGCACCGGCUAACUCCGUGCCAGCAGCCGCGGUAAUUC
rnacentral:rRNA from 1 species